rnacentral:rRNA from 1 species
UCCUACGGGGGGCAGCAGUAGGGAAUUUUCGUCAAUGGGCGCAAGCCUGAACGAGCAAUGCCGCGUGAACAAGGAAGGUCUUCGGAUCGUAAAGUUCUGUUGAAGGGGAAAAAGAGCGGAGAGAGGAAAUGAACUCCGAUUGAUAUUACCCUUCGAGGAAGUCACGGCUAACUACGUGCCAGCAGCCGCGGUAAUACGUAGGUGGCAAGCGUUGUCCGGAUUUAUUGGGCGUAAAGCGAGUGCAGGCGGUUCAAUAAGUCUGAUGUGAAAGCCUUCGGCUCAACCGGAGAAUUGCAUCAGAAAAU